rnacentral:tRNA from 1 species
GGGAAGGUAGUCUAGCUUGGUAUGAUUCUUAAAGAAAUUAUUUCUUUAUGGCAUAAAUCUUGGUUCGGAACCAAGAGACCGGGGGUUCAAAUCCCCCCUUUCCCA